ACGGGACCGCACAAGCGGUGGAUGAUGUGGUUAAUUCGAUGACAACGCGAAAACCUUACCCACCUUUGACAUGUACGGAAGCCUUUAGAGAUAGAGGCGUGCUCGAAAGAGAGCCGUAACACAGGUGCUGCAUGGCUGUCGUCAGCUCGUGUCGUGAGAUGUUGGGUUAAGUCCCGCAACGAGCGCAACCCUUGUCAUUAGUUGCUACAUUCAGUUGGGCACUCUAAUGAGACUGCCGGUGACAAGCCGGAGGAAGGUGGGGAUGACGUCAAGUCCUCAUGGCCCUUAUAGGUGGGGCUACACACGUCAUACAAUGGCUGGUACAAAGGGUUGCCAACCCGCGAGGGGGAGCUAAUCCCAUAAAGCCAGUCGUAGUCCGGAUCGUAGUCUGCAACUCGACUACGUGAAGUCGGAAUCGCUAGUAAUCGUGGAUCAGAAUGUCACGGUGAAUACGUUCCCGGGCCUU
rnacentral:rRNA from 1 species